rnacentral:rRNA from 1 species
AACGAACGCUGGCGGCAUGCCUAACGCAUGCAAGUCGAACGAGAACUUCGGGUCUAUUGUCGCACGGGUUCGUAACGCGUGGGAACCUGCCCUUGGGUUCGGAAUAACUCCCCGAAAGGGGUACUAAUACCGGAUAAUGUCUUCGGACCAAAGAUUUAUCGCCUUUGGAUGGGCCCGCGUGGGAUUAGCUGGUUGGUAGGGUAAAAGCCUACCAAGGCGACGAUCCAUAACUGGUCUGAGAGGCAGAUCAGCCACACUGGGACUGGGACACGGCCCAGACUCCUCCGGGAGGCAGCAGUGGGGGAUGUUGGACAGUGGGCGAAAGGCUGAUCCAGCAAUGCCCGGUGAGUGAUGAAGGCCUUAGGGUUGUAAAGCUCUUUUACCUGGGAUGAUAAUGACAGUACCGGGACAAUAAGCCCCGGCUAACUCCGUG